CCACUGUGUCCAACCCAAAUAUUCAGCUUUCUGUUAACAAAGCAUGCAGUUCCUUAUUAUACAUAUAUUUGAGUAUUAUGUAACUGGCUUCCACUUCCUUUGAUUUUCCGUUUUUAGAGGGAGCUCUACCUUUAAUUUCAAUAUCUUUUUCCUUUGCCUUCUUUCUAAGCUGUUUCUACUCCUUUGAAAGGAUCAAGUGUA
rnacentral:lncRNA from 1 species